rnacentral:rRNA from 1 species
GAUGGCGGCGCUGUCUCCACCCGAGACUCAGUGAAAUUGAAAUCGCUGUGAAGAUGCAGUGUAUCCGCGGCUAGACGGAAAGACCCCGUGAACCUUUACUGUAGCUUUGCACUGGACUUUGAGCCUGCUUGUGUAGGAUAGGUGGGAGGCUUUGAAGCGUGGACGCCAGUUCGCGUGGAGCCAUCCUUGAAAUACCACCCUGGCAUGCUUGAGGUUCUAACUCUGGUCCGUCAUCCGGAUCGAGGACAGUGUAUGGUGGGCAGUUUGACUGGGGCGGUCUCCUCCCAAAGAGUAACGGAGGAGUACGAAGGUGCGCUCAGACCGGUCGGAAAUCGGUCGUAGAGUAUAAAGGCAAAAGCGCGCUUGACUGCGAGACAGACACGUCGAGCAGGUACGAAAGUAGGUCUUAGUGAUCCGGUGGUUCUG